UGUUUAUAAAAAAAUAUAUAUAUAUAUUUUUCUUUAGUUUCUUAGACUUUAUUUCAAGUUUUGUGAAAAGUUACUUUGGAAGUCGUUCGGUUUCCCGAAAGGGAAACUUCACUCUGUUCUUAUAAUGCAAUGCAAUUAUCAAGAAAGCAUAUGAUAAAGCAACAAAACAUAUUGAUAUUGAAGUUGAUAAGAGGAUUCAAAUAUGGAAAGAUGGCAAAUAAAAAAACUUUGGAAGAGGAUAUUCUUGAUGUUCUUAUUAUGAUCAAAGAUACAAAUGAAUGUUAAAGAGAUUAAGGCACAAGUUCUUGUAAGUAUUUGUUGUGUUGUUUUAUCAACUUUGGAUAAUUUUAUGAUUGUAAGUAUACAUUUAAUGUUCCUCACGUGUCUGACUCUGAUACCAUCGUUGCUGAAAAGUAUUUCAUCCCUAAAGGGAGUAUAGUGUUAUUAAGUCGUCUUGGACUUGGCCAGAAUUUUAGAGUUUGGAAGGAAUCAUUAAAGUUCAAGCCAAAGUGCCAUCUCAAAGUGGAAGAUGAUGAUGAAUUAGUUCUCACUGAUUCAAACUUACAUUUGUUAUCAUUUAGUAUUGGAAGACGAGGUUGUCCAGCAGUAAAACUUGUUCAACAAUUACUUGCUAGGCUUCUUCAAGGAUUUACUUGGGCUUUACCAUCAAAUUCACCGUGCAAUGAUUUAAUUGAGUCAUCUAAGAUUAAUCAUUUUUCUACCUUACCACCAAGAUUAGCCAAGGUCAUGUAUCUUUAAGCUACAAUUUUUUUCGUAUUCAUCUAAGUCUAUAGUGCGGUUUAAAUUGUUGUAUUGUUUUUUCAUCCUAUAUAUGUAUUGACUGUGAUUUUGUUUACUUAAUUUAAUAAAGUAUGAUUUGAAUAGAA